rnacentral:rRNA from 1 species
UUGACCUCGGAUCAGGUACGAGUACCCGCUGAG